rnacentral:lncRNA from 1 species
UGAGGGGGAGUGUUGAACUGAAGAGAAGAUAGAAGGUGUUGGAAGAGUUUGGGAGAAGGUGGCCGAUGGUACAAAGAUAGGGCAAGACCUUCAGGAGUGUCCCUUGGUAUCCAGAAGUGAUCUGAUGGUUGUGCAAAGAUAGGGCCAAGUCUAGGAGGGACUUAGAAGCAUAUAGUUGAGGAGAAUGGUCGAGUGUGCAAACUUAGGGCGAGGCCGUACGGAACGUACGGACCUGACCGAUCCGGAAGUUCAAGACUCGACCAUCUGAGUCUAUUUGAAGUUGGUGCAAAAAUAGGGCAAAGGAUAGCUCUUAAGAGAAGAAGACAAAAGAGGCUCUUAAGAGAAGAAGACAAAAGAAGAAGCUGGCGCCAAGAAGAAGAAGCUAUAGUGACCUUGUAUCUGAACAGAUAC